AGCAACAUAAUACCACCAGUACCUCAGUGUUGUGAUCUAACGAGUAUUUAAUAAUUGAAAUAAACUAUAUUUACGUUAUUGUGUUAUACUUGCUGUUUGAGCAAUACGCUUGCUGUAAAUUUGAAUUCGGUAAACAAGUGACUUCAAGAUAUUCUAUUGUCCAUGCCCAAUCCCACCCAACUUGCCCCACCAGGGAUUUGCGAGUCUACGCCAGGGAACAGCGUUCAGUCCGAGAGUCCGGCAGUGAUCCAAAAUACCAAAUAGGUACACGCGGAAAUAUUCGUGACUGAAUAUGGAAUGUAACUUGUCCGUGUUUCCAUGGCUGCUAGGAUCCCACGUCCGGAA